rnacentral:rRNA from 1 species
UUGGAGGGCAAGUCUGGUGCCCGCAGCCGCGGUAAUUCCAGCUCCAAUAGCGUAUAUUAAGGCUGUUGCAGCUAAAAAGCUCGUAGUUGAAUUUCGAGAUCAGAAUGUUGGUCGUGCCUUGGUACGUACUGGCAUUAUUGGUUUCUCCCUUCUGACGAACCAUGAUGUCAUUAAUUUGUUGUCAUGGGGAAUCGGGACUGUUACUUUGAAAAAAUUAGAGUGUUUAAAGCAGGCUCGCGCUUGAAUACAUUAGCAUGGAAUAAUGAAAUAGGACGUUUAAUUCUAUUUUGUUGGUUUCUAGGAUUGACGUAAUGAUUAAUAGGGAUAGUUGGGGGCAUUAGUAUUCAACUGUCAGAGGUGAAAUUCUUGGAUUUAUUGAAGACUAACUACUGCGAAAGCAUUUGCCAAGGAUGUUUUCAUUAAUCAAGAACGAAAGUUAGGGGAUCGAAGACGAUCAGAUACCGUCGUAGUCUUAACCAUAAACUAUGCCGACUAGGGAUCGGAUGAUGUUAAUUUUUUAAUGACUCAUUCGGCGCCUUACGGGAAACCAAAGUGUUUGGGUUC